rnacentral:rRNA from 1 species
AUUGAACGCUGGCGGCAGGCCUAACACAUGCAAGUCGAGCGAGCGGCGGACGGGUGAGUAAUGUCUGGGGAUCUGCCCGAUAGAGGGGGAUAACUACUGGAAACGGUGGCUAAUACCGCAUACUAUCGGAUGAACCCAUAUGGGAUUAGCUAGUAGGUGGGGUAAAGGCUCACCUAGGCGACGAUCCCUAGCUGGUCUGAGAGGAUGAUCAGGACAGCUGGGACUGAGACAGGGUCCAGACGACUACGGGAGGCAGAAGUGGGGAAUAUUGAACAAUGGGAGCGAGCAUGAUGAGGCCAUGCCGGGUGUAUGAAGAAGGCCUUAGGGUUGUAAAGUACUUGCAGAGGGGAGGCGUGACACGCAGAGGAAGCACCGGCUAACUCCGUGCCAGCAGCCGCGGUAAUUC